UACGGAGGGUGCAAGCGUUAAUCGGAAUUACUGGGCGUAAAGCGCACGUAGGUGGUUUGUUAAGCUAGCUGUGAAAUCCCCGGGCUCAACCUGGGCACUGCAGUUAGAACUGGCAAGCUAGAGUAGGGUAGAGGGGUGUGGAAUUCCAGGUGUAGCGGUGAAAUGCGUAGAUAUCUGGAGGAACAUCAGUGGCGAAGGCGACACCCUGGACUCAUACUGACACUGAGGUGCGAAAGCGUGGGGAGCAAACAGGAUUAGAUACCCGGGUAGU
rnacentral:rRNA from 1 species